GAUGAACGCUGGCGGCGUGCCUAAUACAUGCAAGUCGAGCGAACGGACGAGAAGCUUGCUUUUCUGAUGUUAGCGGCGGACGGGUGAGUAACACGUGGAUAACCUACCUAUAAGACUGGGAUAACUUCGGGAAACCGGAGCUAAUACCGGAUAAUAUUUUGAACCGCAUGGUUCAAAAGUGAAAGACGGUCUUGCUGUCACUUAUAGAUGGAUCCGCGCUGCAUUAGCUAGUUGGUAAGGUAACGGCUUACCAAGGCAACGAUGCAUAGCCGACCUGAGAGGGUGAUCGGCCACACUGGAACUGAGACACGGUCCAGACUCCGACGGGAGGCAGCAGUAGGGUAUCUUCCGCAAUGGGCGAAAGCCUGACGGAGCAACGCCGCGUGAGUGAUGAAGGUCUUCGGAUCGUAAAACGCUGUUAUUAGGGAAGAACAUAUGUGUAAGUAACUGUGAACAUCUGGACGGUACCUAAUCAGAAAGCCACGGCUAACUACGU
rnacentral:rRNA from 1 species